rnacentral:rRNA from 1 species
UACGGGGGGGAGCAAGCGUUGUUCGGAUUUACUGGGCGUAAAGGGCGCGUAGGCGGUCAGCACAAGUCAAUUGUGAAAUCUCCGAGCUUAACUCGGAAAGGUCAACUGAAACUGUGCGACUAGAGUGCGGAAGGGGCAACUGGAAUUCUUGGUGUAGCGGUGAAAUGCGUAGAUAUCAAGAGGAACACCUGCGGCGAAGGCGGGUUGCAGGCUGGCCACGUGCUGAAGCGCGAAAGCCAGGGGGAGCGAACGGG